rnacentral:rRNA from 1 species
GUCGAGCGAACAGAGAAGGAGCUUGCUCCUUCGACGUUAGCGGCGGACGGGUGAGUAACACGUGGGCAACCUACCUUAUAGUUUGGGAUAACUCCGGGAAACCGGGGCUAAUACCGAAUAAUCUGUUUCACCUCAUGGUGAAACACUGAAAGACGGUUUCGGCUGUCGCUAUAGGAUGGGCCCGCGGCGCAUUAGCUAGUUGGUGAGGUAACGGCUCACCAAGGCGACGAUGCGUAGCCGACCUGAGAGGGUGAUCGGCCACACUGGGACUGAGACACGGCCCAGACUCCUACGGGAGGCAGCAGUAGGGAAUCUUCCACAAUGGGCGAAAGCCUGAUGGAGCAACGCCGCGUGAGUGAAGAAGGAUUUCGGUUCGUAAAACUCUGUUGUAAGGGAAGAACAAGUACAGUAGUAACUGGCUGUACCUUGACGGUACCUUAUUAGAAAGCCACGGCUAACUACGUGCCAGCAGCCGCGGUAAUACGUAGGUGGCAAGCGUUGUCCGGAAUUAUUGGGCGUAAAGCGCGCGCAGGUGGUUUCUUAAGUCUGAUGUGAAAGCCCACGGCUCAACCGUGGAGGGUCAUUGGAAACUGGGAGACUUGAGUGCAGAAGAGGAUAGUGGAAUUCCAAGUGUAGCGGUGAAAUGCGUAGAGAUUUGGAGGAACACCAGUGGCGAAGGCGACUAUCUGGUCUGUAACUGACACUGAGGC